rnacentral:rRNA from 1 species
UGAGGAAUUUUCGUCAAUGGGGGCAACCCUGAACGAGCAACGCCGCGUGCAGGAAGAAGGUUUUCGGAUCGUAAACUGCUUUUCUCUGGGACGAGCAAGGACGGUACCAGAGGAAUCAGCCUCGGCUAACUACGUGCCAGCAGCCGCGGUAAUACGUAGGAGGCAAGCGUUGUCCGGAGUUACUGGGCGUAAAGCGCACGCAGGCGGUCCGGUCAGUCUGUAGGGACAGGGCACAGCUUAACUGUGUCAGGCUUAUGGAAACUGCCAGACUUGAGGGCUUCAGAGGGAUGGGGAAUUCCGGGUGGAGUGGUGAAAUGCGUAGAGAUCCGGAAGAACACCAAAGGCGUAGGCACCAUCCUGGGGAGUCACUGACGCUCGGGUGCGAAAGCCAGGGGAGCGA